GAUGAACGCUGGCGGCGUGCCUAAUACAUGCAAGUCGAGCGAACAGACGAGGAGCUUGCUCCUCUGACGUUAGCGGCGGACGGGUGAGUAACACGUGGAUAACCUACCUAUAAGACUGGGAUAACUUCGGGAAACCGGAGCUAAUACCGGAUAAUAUAUUGAACCGCAUGGUUCAAUAGUUAAAGACGGUUUUGCUGUCACUUAUAGAUGGAUCCGAGCCGCAUUAGCUAGUUGGUAAGGUAACGGCUUACCAAGGCAACGAUGCGUAGCCGACCUGAGAGGGUGAUCGGCCACACUGGAACUGAGACACGGUCCAGACUCCUACGGGAGGCAGCAGUAGGGAAUCUUCCGCAAUGGGCGAAAGCCUGACGGAGCAACGCCGCGUGAGUGAUGAAGGUCUUCGGAUCGUAAAACUCUGUUAUUAGGGAAGAACAAAUGUGUAAGUAACUAUGCACGUCUUGACGGUACCUAAUCAGAAAGCCACGGCUAACUACGUG
rnacentral:rRNA from 1 species